UGGUUGCAGAAAUUAAUGGUUCCGUGUUUAUCAAUAGUCUGGAAAGAAGAAGUCCUAGUGAAUCACUGAGUUCC
ensembl:snoRNA